UACGAAGGGGGCUAACGUUGCUCGGAAUCACUGGGCGUAAAGGGUGCGUAGGCGGGUCUUUUAAGUCAGGGGUGAAAUCCUGGAGCUCAACUCCAGAACUGCCUUUGAUACUGAAGAUCUUGAGUUCGGGAGAGGUGAGUGGAACUGCGAGUGUAGAGGUGAAAUUCGUAGAUAUUCGCAAGAACACCAGUGGCGAAGGCGGCUCACUGGCCCGAUACUGACGCUGAGGCACGAAAGCGUGGGGAGCAAACAGG
rnacentral:rRNA from 1 species